AAUAGACAGCAUAAAAACACAUUGCAGUUGGUAGUCUGCAAGCGUUAAAAAACGUCAGUAACCUUCCCUCCAGGUCGUCCCUUGCUAAUUUCUUGAGG
rnacentral:ncRNA from 1 species